GCCACCCUGAGCUCAGCCCAAAGCUUCUCCUGUGCAGGCAAAUGUUUAAGUGCCUGGAUGAACUGAAGGCUUUGAAGGUUAAGAACUGUGGUCAGUUAUUUUAUUUCUAUUUUAUUAGUCAGUAAUUUUUUAUUUUUUCAUGCUGCAAAGCUGCUGUUUGUUGUUCUUGUGUCAGAAUGACAGUCUGAGACACGUGGCUCAAGUAGGAAUGUUAGAUAUGCACUGUCAGGGCAGCACAAGGAUUUCCCCAGGUUUUAAUUCUGGUGGCUGCCUGUUAAACAGAAAACACUGUUUUCUCACAGGAGAAUGUAACUUUUUAUUUUUUCAGAAACCCUCAGUGAGGAAGGGAAUUAAUUUACACUUGAUGUGCACAACACUUCGCUGAAGCUUGUGUCUUCAGAUCACAAAGUUGUAAUUUCCAGCAUUGAGGGUAGAUUAUCAGUAAUUUCAAAGCCCAAAUGCUGGUUCAGAAAGCAGAACAUAAAGGGUGUGCACUGAAAACUAACAGCAUUUUCAAACCAGAAUACACCUUAAAUGAGCUAAAAAUUAACUGGCAUAAUUUAUCAACUUCUGUUUCCUCUCUGCUGAGUCCACCUGAGUUCCCUGAGCAGUGAGUAAAUAAAAACUUUCAUUCCAUUGUUUACUGAUAGACUUAUUGCUGUAAUAUAACUGAUAUUUUCUCAUUAGGAGCCCAAUAUUUCCCUGUAAUAAUUAAGAGGUAAUUGAAAAUGUGUUACCAGUCAUCAGCAGUAGGUGACUGUGCCCUCCUGGAAGAUUUGGCUUGGCAGGACUUCUGUUCUAUAAGCAGUGCAUUUUGGUGUUUCCCACUGGCAUUUUUGCAGCCAGAGGGAGUGACUGUUUAAGUCUUUAAACUUUUAAUUAAACCUUAGGCUGAAGGCAAACCGUAAGAGGCAUGGCAGGAGAAAGACGAGCAUGCAGGUCUUAAAUUGCCUUCCAGCAAGUCUUAAUUAGUAAAGUGAGUCUGUAUAUAAAUAUUAGCUGUAACUCGUUCCUCCUGUUAUUUGCUCCCUUUUGGUUUUGGUGUUUCCAGAGAAACAUUAUGUCAGGUGUGCACUGAGCCUGUAGGAGUGACAAAGUCAUGAACCUCCAGAGCCUGUCGUCAGUUCUUGCUGGAGCAGCCAAGGAUUUCAGCCAUUCUCCUGAGCACAUCCACCUUCCAGCUGCCCCUGAAGGCACGGAGGGACACGGGGCCCUGCUCCCCACACCUCAGCCCCAGGGUGGGCUCCAAGCAGACAGAAAACUGUCCUGAGCCUUGUCAUGACAGAGUAGGACUGAGCAAAGACACCCUGCAUUGGCUUAGUAGGUGUGCCACUGUCCAAAUUUAAUUUAAAACAUUAAUUAGUGAUGUGGAAUGAAGAAUGAGAAUACACCAUUUGUAUGAAGCAGCUGAGUUGUUCUGGCUGGCUGUAGAGAAGUCAUGGAGAGAGAGAGAAAGGUGACACAAGUGGAAAAUGUAGGUGACAACAAACCUUUGCUAAAUAAUCCAUGUGAGGAGUAUUUUGGUUGUGAAGGAACCCAGCAAUACAGCAGGAGCAGAGCAGGGUGUAAGACAUAGCUGGGUGUCCCUGUUUUGUGCAGGCUUACAAUUCCUUGUCUGGUAGAGCAGAGGGGGUGGGCAGGGCAUUGCUCUGGGUUAUUUGCUCAUCCCAGGCACUUUGCAGACCAUGAUUCUGCCAGGGUUCACAUCUUUGUGUGGGCUGGGGUCUGGAGUUGUUGUGUCCCAAAACACACUCCAAUCCCUCCCCAGCCCAGUGUGGAUCACUUUAUUUAGAACCUUGCUCCCUGAGUUUUGGGUGUCUCUGGGUCUGUUCCAAUAUUUGCCCACCCUUAUAGGAUGUACCCAGCAGUGUAAAUUCUAUCACCAUCAGUUAAACCAACUGGGGCAGUGUUCUUUAUCUCUCCACAGCCCAUCCUCCCUCCAGGAGA